rnacentral:lncRNA from 1 species
CAAUUUAUUCGUAUUUUACAGCGGGAAGGUAAACAAAGCGUUUUAAGAACGCCAAAUAAGAACCAGUAGCUUAACGUUUUAAAAAGCUAGCAAUAACGCAAUGAAAGUUGAACUUACAUAACCUGUUGAUUUGAAAUCAUGUCGUCAUAUUCACUUAUAUCAGUGGCUAUACUUCGGAGAGGAUUCCAUAAAGCAACGUUAUUUAAAACCCCA